rnacentral:rRNA from 1 species
AACGAACGCUGGCGGCAGGCCUAACACAUGCAAGUCGAGCGCACCCUUCGGGGCGAGCGGCGGACGGGUUAGUAACGCGUGGGAACGUACCCUUUUCUAUGGAAUAGCCUCGGGAAACUGAGAGUAAUACCAUAUAAGCCCUUCGGGGGAAAGAUUUAUCGGGAAAGGAUCGGCCCGCGUUAGAUUAGAUAGUUGGUGGGGUAAUGGCCUACCAAGUCUACGAUCUAUAGCUGGUUUUAGAGGAUGAUCAGCAACACUGGGACUGAGACACGACCCAGACUCCUACGGGAGGCAGCAGGUAGGGAAUCUUAGACAAGUGGGCG